GAAGAACAGGUAGUUAGGUAUGGCAGCCUGUUGCUAGGACACCAGAAGAACAGGUAGUUAGGUCUGGCAGCCUGUUGCUAGGACACCAGAAGAACAGGUAGUUAGGUCUGGCAGCCUGUUGCUAGGACACCAGAAGAACAGGUAGUUAGGUCUGGCAGCCUGUUGCUAGGACACCAGAAGAACAGGUAGUUAGGUCUGGCAGCCUGUUGCUAGGACACCAGAAGAACAGGUAGUUAGGUCUGGCAGCCUGUUGCUAGGACACCAGAAGAACAGGUAGUUAGGUCUGGCAGCCUGUUGCUAGGACACCAGAAGAACAGGUAGUUAGGUCUGGCAGCCUGUUGCUAGGACACCAGAAGAACAGGUAGUUAGGUCUGGCAGCCUGUUGCUAGGACACCAGAAGAACAGGUAGUUAGGUCUGGCAGCCUGUUGCUAGGACACCAGAAGAACAGGUAGUUAGGUCUGGCAGCUUGUUUCUCUGACACCAGAAGAACAGGUAGUUAGGUAUGGCAGCCUGUUGCUAGGACACCAGAAG